rnacentral:rRNA from 1 species
AACGAACGCUGGCGGCGUGCCUAACACAUGCAAGUCGAGCGCGAAUAGGAGCAAUCCUUAGUAGAGCGGCGCACGGGUGCGUAACACGUGGGUAAUCUGCCUGGAAGAUCGGAAUAACCUGCCGAAAGGCUGGCUAAUACCGGAUAAGCCUACGGGAUCUUCGGAUCCUGAAGGAAAAGGUGGCCUCUGUAUACAAGCUAUCACUUCCAGAUGAGCCCGCGGCCCAUCAGCUAGUUGGCGGGGUAACGGCCCACCAAGGCAACGACGGGUAGCUGGUCUGAGAGGACGAUCAGCCACACUGGAACUGAGACACGGUCCAGACUCCUACGGGAGGCAGCAGUGGGGAAUUUUGCACAAUGGGCGAAAGCCUGAUGCAGCAACGCCGCGUGUGUGAUGAAGAUCUUCGGAUCGUAAAGCACUUUCGACCGGGACGAACACCUCUUGGCUAAUAU